rnacentral:rRNA from 1 species
UACGGGGGGGGCAAGCGUUGUUCGGAAUUACUGGGCGUAAAGGGCGUGUAGGUGGUGCUGUAAGUUCGGCGUGAAAUUUUUCGGCUUAACCGGGAAAGGUCGUCGGAUACUGCAGGACUAGAGGACGGUAGAGGCGUGUGGAAUUCCGGGUGUAGUGGUGAAAUGCGUAGAGAUCCGGAGGAACACCAGUGGCGAAGGCGACACGCUGGGCCGUACCUGACACUGAGGCGCGAUAGCAUGGGGAGCAAACAGG